UCGGAGAUGCAUAUAAUUACCAGCAACUGGCGCUGGGUAGGCAAAGCCCGGAGAAACUGCUGAGAUGAGAUCUGUCCUGUGAACUCCGGGAAACUCUGCUUGAGUUUCCUUCCAAGAUGGCAGCUGGCUUCCACCAGACUGGGCAACAUGAAAGACCUUUAUGACCGUGCCUUGGACACUCAUUUCCUCCUAUCGCACUGGCUGCCCCAACCAGCCCUCUUCACUGUGGAGGGGGACAAUACAGCCUGUAAAUGCCUGAAGGCAGGAAUCAUUUGGAGACCAUCUUGGAGGUUGGUGACCAUGGCAACCAUCACUUCAGCACAAAGAGAGAUUCAGAGACAGGGUUUGGACCCAGCCUGAAGACCUAGGGUUGCUUCACCAGGACACCCAGGAGACUGAUGUGGUGACACUUGGAGUUUGAGGAAUCCACACAGAAGUCCUAUUGACCAGAGGGGUUCAGUCCAUGGCCCUUCUAAAGAAGCCCAUGGGAAAGAAUUGAGCCGGGGGUGUAUACAGGCAUGCCCACUCUAGCCGGCUGGUCUGGGCACAGCCCAAUUCUCCACUGGAGAAGCAUCCUGGGCAUUUCCCCGAGAAGACUCCACACACAGACUUCAUGCUGGUCUAGCUUUGCUCUCCCAACACACAGACUAGGAAGAGACAGAACUGGCUACAGACACUGGGUCCUGAAGCCUGGACUGGCUUAGAAGGAUGUUUGGAGACAGAAGGACCUGGAGGGAAGGGUCAAAGGUACUUGCUUUGUGUUGGGCCUAUUUGGGAGCUGUGUAACUCUGGGCAAGUGGCUCAGUCUCUCUGGGCCUGAGUUUCCACAUACACAGAACCAUAGACUGAAUUUGCCCUUUGGUUCUCCAUUGGUCCUGGGGAGUUUGGGCUGGUCAGGGGAAGCCAGAGACCGCAUGGGUGUGCAUGAAGUGGGGCUAUGCCAUCAGACAAGCUCUCUGUUGUGCGGCUACAUGCUGAGUACUCCUGUUUCAUCAGCAGGAGGGAAUGUCGAGGCUGGGAGUGUGGCUCAGCUGGUAGAACGGUAGGCAUAGACAGAGCCUUGAGUUUGCUUCUCCAGGAUUGCACAAACCAGUUGUGGCACACAGCUGUCAUACACACACACACCCCGUUCGGGGGGCGGGGUGGGUGGAGGCAGGAGAAUCCAGUGAUAGAGUGAGUGUGAAGUCAUCCUGUCUCAAAGAAACGGGAGGGAGACUCUCUGUAGUAAACACAUUGCAAUCUAGAGCUUUCUACCAGUCUUUCCUCUCAAGUUCUUCAUGCCUUAGGAAGUGAAGGACAGAAACACACACACACACACACACGCACACACACACACACACACACGCAGAAAGCUGCAUGGGUUAGCUAUCCUUUCCAAGUGGCUUCUGGUUUCCUGGGCAUUGAAUUUGCUUCUCUAAGGAGGCCUGAGACCCAGGCCAGGUAGAGAAGUCAGC